rnacentral:rRNA from 1 species
UACGAAGGGGGCGAGCGUUGUUCGGAUUUACUGGGCGUAAAGGGCGCGCAGGCGGCUUAUCACGUCAGACGUGAAAGCCCCGGGCUUAACCUGGGAACUGCGUUUGGGACUGAUUUGCUAGAGAUCGGGAGAGGAGAGUGGAAUUCCCAGUGUAGAGGUGAAAUUCGUAGAUAUUGGGAAGAACACCGGUGGCGAAGGCGGCUCUCUGGGCCUACAUUGACGCUGAGGAGCGAAAGCUAGGGGAGCAAACGGG